CAUAGUUCCUGGUUGUAGCGGGAGCCCUUAUCUCUAGGUUCUAGUACUAGCCAUGGAUUCCUUUGUCUGAUACUAAGCUUUGGUGAGAGGCCAAUUUUAGUCUUUAUCUCCAAAGACAUCUGAGACCAGUAUUACUACUUCUGGAGACAUGGUUACAUUACCUACAUGCAUUUAAGAUCAUUGCAUUUGCUUCUGAGGAAGGACGUAAGUCCGAAAGCGCUUAAGCAGACAGACGAGCCAGACGAGGAUUGGAGCUGCGACCUGGGACCGGUGGAGACGCUGGAACUUGGGGACUUUGCGGUGAUUAUACCCGGGAGACCUGAUCAGGCUUGCAGUCCUAUGUGGAUAUUUUAUGCUGAUUUUAAUUAGAUGUUUUGUGAGUGCAUUCCUUAUUAAAAAAUGUUGUCUUUGAAAAAAGACGGUGUUGCACUAUUAUCCUUAUUUCUUAUUUCAAGAGUCCUAUGGAGGAGGAUUCAGCCGUGGAGUGAAAACUACCCUUCAUGUCUUGUGAUUUUCUACAUGCAAUCUAUUUCACAUUUAUAUGUGAGUGGGACCAUUAA